rnacentral:rRNA from 1 species
ACGAACGCUGGCGGCAUGCCUAACACAUGCAAGUCGAACGAUGCCUUCGGGCAUAGUGGCGCACGGGUGCGUAACGCGUGGGAAUCUGCCCUUCGGUUCGGAAUAACAGUUAGAAAUGACUGCUAAUACCGGAUGAUGACGUAAGUCCAAAGAUUUAUCGCCGAAGGAUGAGCCCGCGUAAGAUUAGCUUGUUGGUGAGGUAAAGGCUCACCAAGGCUACGAUCUUUAGCUGGUCUGAGAGGAUGAUCAGCCACACUGGGACUGAGACACGGCCCAGACUCCUACGGGAGGCAGCAGUGGGGAAUAUUGGACAAUGGGGGAAAGCCUGAUCCAGCAAUGCCGCGUGAGUGAUGAAGGCCUUAGGGUUGUAAAGCUCUUUUACCCGGGAUGAUAAUGACAGUACCGGGAGAAUAAGCUCCGGCUAACUCCGU